UACGUAGGGGGGCUAGCGUUGUCCGGAAUCAUUGGGCGUAAAGAGCGUGUAGGCGGCCCGGUAAGUCCGCUGUGAAAGUCGGGGGCUCAACCCUCGGAUGCCGGUGGAUACUGUCGGGCUCGAGUACGGAAGAGGCGAGUGGAAUUCCUGGUGUAGCGGUGAAAUGCGCAGAUAUCGGGAGGAACACCUAUGGCGAAGGCAGCUCGCUGGGACGUUACUGACGCUGAGACGCGAAAGCGUGGGGAGCAAACAGG
rnacentral:rRNA from 1 species